CGACUCUAGAAAACCUAAUUUCUUCUUCUUCUUCGUUCUCUUUUGAUUUUUAUUCUGUUUGUUCGAUGUUUUUUUGAUUUGAGGUUGGAUGAUGAAUCCCGAUGAGGAAGCGAACCCAAAAGAUAGGAAGUGCCAUCAUUGCAAGUCCAAUCUCCUUAUAUUAGUACUGGCGGUGGUGGUUGUUUCGAUUCUUUCUGCUGUGUGUAUGAUUUGGAAAGGGAAUAUGAGGGUAAUUAUAAUUUUUCUCUAAUUUUCUUUUGCUGUGAUUUGUAAAUAGAAAUUCUGUGCUUUGAUCUGUUUAGGGUUUUCGUUGUUUUAUGAUGAUAUCUCUGGAAAGGAGUACCAAAUUAGAUGAGAGGAAAUACCAUCAUGUUCUGUGAGUAUGAACAAAAUCAGCAGCAGCAUAAAAAGAAUUUAAGUUAUUGUAAAUUGAUGUUUGUAUUCACCGCACGUGAUGAUAGUCCUCCCAUCUUAAUGUGUAUUUUUCUAGUGGUAUCUGAUUUUUGUUUAGGACUUCUAUGAUAUGAUAUCGGCGCGGGGGAUUUUGGCAAAAAUUCUCUCUUUCAUAUAUCGGAGCAAACCUUUUAUGUUUGUAAAAUCCGUUUGUAAACGUCGUAGAAAAAGCCUGAGAUGUUGAUGGUCGAAAGAUCUCCGUCUCGGGGGGUCUCAUAUUCCAUUGCCUUGGGGAGCUGCGUUGUGGCCAUUACCUCUUGGGACUGGCCAUGAGA